rnacentral:rRNA from 1 species
CCGCUGUACACUGCCCCAAAUCUCGUUUCUCAUCUAAUCCCCUCACCAAGCCUUCCUCUCAUCUUAUCCAUUAGAGGUCGCAUCCUUCAGGUCGUUGCUGCAGCUACUGCUAGAUGUCAUUGCUGUGAGAUUGCUGUUGUUCCCGGUGCCUCUUCUCGCCAUGGUCGCUGCCGUGUGGAGGCUGCUCCCGUUCCCCUGUUCCCUGCGUCGUCAUGGUUGUCGCCGCUGCCGCCUUUGGCCAAUACCGGGUGUGGGUACUUCUGGUUCGAGAUCAAUUGACUCACACUUUGUGCCCCGCGGUUGAGGUAAAUUCUGAGGAAGACAUGCAUGGGAGUCUUGGGAGUAGCAUCAUCACCGUUUUUACCAUACAGAACUCACACAUAUUGUCCCUUAGGACCGUGUUUUGAGAACCUAGUACAGUUUGUACCUUACUUCACGUGGGAUUUGCCUUGAGUUUGAGAGUUACUCUCUUGGUCUGUAUGGCUUAACUAAUUUCCAUUUAAGACUACCGUUAUUCGCC